GGAAGGGGUGUAUUUAUUAGAUUAAAAACCAAUGCCCUUCGGGGCUCUCUGGUGAUUCAUAAUAACUUCUCGAAUCGCACGGCCUUGCGCCGGCGAUGGUUCAUUCAAAUUUCUGCCCUAUCAACUUUCGACGGCUGGGUCUUGGCCAGCCGUGGUGACAACGGGUAACGGAGGGUUAGGGCUCGACCCCGGAGAAGGAGCCUGAGAAACGGCUACUACAUCCAAGGAAGGCAGCAGGCGCGCAAAUUACCCAAUCCCGACACGGGGAGGUAGUGACAAUAAAUACUGAUACAGGGCUCUUUCGGGUCUUGUAAUUGGAAUGAGUACAAUUUAAAUCCCUUAACGAGGAACAAUUGGAGGGCAAGUCUGGUGCCAGCAGCCGCGGUAAUUCCAGCUCCAAUAGCGUAUAUUAAAGUUGUUGAGGUUAAAAAGCUCGUAGUUGAACCUUGGGCCUAGCCGGCCGGUCCGCCUCACCGCGUGCACUGGCUCGGCUGGGUCUUUCCUUCUGGAGAACCGCAUGCCCUUCACUGGGUGUGCCGGGGAACCAGGACUUUUACA
rnacentral:rRNA from 1 species